UAUUUCUCCGUUAGGUCUCCGGCGACCAGCCCGACCCCUCAGAGACGGGCCCCUCCUCCAGGGCCUCCGGCACGCCCAGGUUCUCGUGGCUCGGCCCCGGGGCCUCCUGCUGCCGGCGGGCCACCCGUUCCCUCUCGCCCGGGAGCCUCUCCGGACCCCUUCGGCGUGCCCCCACCUCAGGUCCCAUCCCGGCCUAACCGUGCACCUCCCAGCGUGCCCAGGUGAGACUCGAUUAUAUCAGACAGUAGAAACUGCUAAUUAAAUAACAUAUUUGUGCUGGAAAACAAUCAUAAUGCACUCAGAUUGAGGCAUAAAUAUGUGUAAUUGGCACCCCCCGGUUCUCGUGGCUCGGCCCCGGGGCCCCCUGCUGCCGGCGGGCCCCCCGUUCCCUCUCGCCCGGGAGCCUCUCCAGACCCCUUCGGCGUGCCCCCACCUCAGGUCCCAUCCCGGCCUAACCGUGCACCUCCCAGCGUGCCCAGUGGUCCCUGAGCUCACGGGCCAGAAGACGACACCAAACCCCCCCAAAGGCCGGUCAAACACAGCGGCCCUUUUCUCCCUUUAGCAUCGCUUUCUUCUUCUGCUCCUCCCCACAUCGAGUAAAGCAACCCAAGCCCACCAGCACAACAGAAGCAACACCAACCCAGAGAUCCAGGACCACAGCCAUCAAACCUUCUAGAAUCUCGCUAAAGGGACCGUUCACCCAAAAAAAUGAAAAUUCACCCUCAUGUCGUUUCCAACCUGUACAAUUCUCCCAAAAUACAUUCUGAAGAACUAAACGCUUUCGGGUCCCAUUGACUCCCAUUGUUUGGACAAACAGUACCGUGAACGUCAGUGGGACCCCAAACCAUCCGCUUCCCAACAUAUCUGUUCCAAAGCCAUUUCCCCCCACACUGCAAACAAUCAUGAUCUCCGUCUCUUUUUCUAGUUACUAGCUACUGUAAAACCUGAAAAAAGCAUUAAAAUAGGGAUUUCCUCGCGGUGCAAACGUUGUGCCGAUGUAAAAGCUCUCAGGUACGAGGACGUGUGUUCACCCUCAGUGCUUGUGCUCAGAAAUCAUUCAUUCAUUAGUGAAUCUGAAGCUUCGGUGGGGCUGGACUGAAUUAGAGAGUGCAAUAUAUUCAUUUAAAACACAGUAGUGCAGUUUUAGGGUGAACAGACGUUCUCGGGUUCGGUGAGACGCUUGUGUGUUUACAAAUGAUUUAAUAAACGAGUACAGACUAAUGCUGAAGACUGGUGAGCGUUCAGGACGAAUGAUCAUGUCGGGAUGGUUGUCCACACACAGGCUGUGUUUAGAAUUGAAUACUUGCUGUACAGUAUACACUGCUUACUGUUUUUAACAAGCAGUGCUAAACAGUAGUAUGCUGCAUUGCUUCAUUUUAGCAAGAAAAUUAGUUUUUGCAUUUUUAAGUCUGAUAAAUUGGCAUUUUUUGCAAAUGUAGUCAGUAAUGUGGGUAUUCAUACAGAUCAUAUGCACACUGCGCAUAGUGUAUAUACUGCAGAAAUAGUUACAGUAGUAUGAUAUUCUGAACAUAGCCACAUAUGUACAUUUUUUGUUUAACUUGCCACAUUGAUUCCACCACAUCAGUCAAGCCACAAACUUUCUUAUUGGAUAAAAAUUUGAUUCUUUUUGCUGGGAUAUUAAAGAAAGUUACUAAAAAUAGUAGCACCAAUGGACAUUUUUCAUGUGUGUGUGGACAAACCGUCCCUGUGCAUUGAAAUUAUGCAAAUGUAUCUCAAGUCUGAUUUUCCUGUCUGUAAUUUAAGGUUCGUUAUGAAAAUCAAGAUGUAGCAACAACGAAACGUUAAAUAUCACUGCUGGGCUAUGCAUAGAAAUAUGAAGGAGAACAUAUGAACACAACACUGUAAUUCUGUCGUUUGUUGUAAUAAUUCUAAAGAUAAUAAAGCCCCUGUUGCUGAUAGUUGGCGUUGUGGCAUGACCACACAGCUUUAACUGUACCGUAUAUCAACAGUAUGUUUCUGUCGGCAACAUGCACACCAAACCUUCCCAGAAUCCACUCGGGAGUCUUAGUAAAACCCACGAACCAGAAAAGAUUUACCGUUAUUUAAGAGUCCGUCAUGGACAUACUGGAUCUUAAGUGUGUGUCAAAUUGUGCUUCCACUGUUUAGAGACUAGUCCACAUGUAUGAUUAUUGAAUAUUAAAUUAUUAUGGGUAAAUAAACCGGGCCUCUUUCUGCGUUUGGACAGAAAGGUGUUACAAUACUGAGUGUGUAACGUGUCUCUGCUUGGACGGGUUUGUCAUCAGUAAAGUUCAGUGUACCAAAAUGUUGUUUUUGUGUCGUUUUUCUUGUCUUCAGAGAACUUCAAAGAUAUUUUUAGCAUUCAAGUCAAGUAUGAAAUGAAAUGCGGAGUGUAGUUUUCUUUCCUGUGCUGAUGUAUUUCUAUGGAAGGUCAUUGCUGCCACAAAAGAAAAAAAAGCAUGUUUUGGUAAACCACAAUUAUGACAAUCAUAAUUAUGAGGUGCAUCAAAAUUAUACUUGCAACAACUUUUUUUGACUCGGUGUGUCAAUUUUGAC
ensembl:lncRNA